GGGGGCGACCUGGUUUCGACAGGGGUUGCAAAGCAGCGCAGGGCAUACCGAGGGCUGGCUACCUCGUAAAUACAACCAGAAAAAACUUAACUGCAAACGAUAACUCGUACGCACUAGCCGCUUAAUAACCGGUUAGCUCUACACCAC
rnacentral:tmRNA from 1 species